rnacentral:rRNA from 1 species
UACGUAGGGUGCAAGCGUUGUCCGGAAUUACUGGACGUAAAGAGCUCGUAGGUGGUUUGUCGCGUCGUCUGUGAAAUCCCGGGGCUUAACCUCGGGCGUGCAGGCGAUACGGGCAAUACUUGAGUGCUGUAGGGGAGACUGGAAUUCCUGGUGUAGCGGUGAAAUGCGCAGAUAUCAGGAGGAACACCAAUGGCGAAGGCAGGUCUCUGGGCAGUUACUGACGCUGAGGAGCGAAAGCAUGGGUAGCGAACAGGAUUAGA